UACGUAGGGGGCGAGCGUUGUCCGGAUUUACUGGGCGUAAAGAGCGCGCAGGCGGCUGGUCAAGUCCGAUGUGAAAGCUCCCGGCUUAACUGGGAAAUUGCAUCGGAAACUGAUCGGCUGGAAGGUGGGAGAGGGUAGCGGAAUUCCCGGUGUAGUGGUGAAAUGCGUAGAUAUCGGGAGGAACACCAGUGGCGAAGGCGGCUACCUGGCCCAUUCUUGACGCUGAGGCGCGAAGGCUAGGGGAGCAAACGGG
rnacentral:rRNA from 1 species